AUUGAACGCUGGCGGCAUGCCUUACACAUGCAAGUCGAACGGUAACAGGUCUUCGGAUGCUGACGAGUGGCGAACGGGUGAGUAAUACAUCGGAACGUGCCUAGUAGUGGGGGAUAACUACUCGAAAGAGUGACUAAUACCGCAUGAGAUCUACGGAUGAAAGCAGGGGAUUGCAAGACCUUGUGCUACUAGAGCGGCCGAUGGCAGAUUAGGUAGUUGGUGGGAUAAAAGCUUACCAAGCCGACGAUCUGUAGCUGGUCUGAGAGGACGAUCAGCCACACUGGGACUGAGACACGGCCCAGACUCCUACGGGAGGCAGCAGGGGGGAAUUUUGGACAAUGGGCGCAAGCCUGAUCCAGCAAUGCCGCGUGCAGGAUGAAGGCCUUCGUGUUGUAAACUGCUUUUGUACGGAACGAAAAGCCCUGGGUUAAUACCCUGGGGUCAUGACGGUACCGUAAGAAUAAGCACCGGCUAACUACGUGCCAGCCGCCGCCGUAAAAC
rnacentral:rRNA from 1 species